GACAGAGGAUGCAAGCGUUAUCCGGAUUCACUGGGUUUAAAGGGUGCGUAGGUGGGAAUGUAAGUCAGUGGUGAAAUCUCCGUGCUUAACAUGGAAACUGCCAUUGAUACUAUGUUUCUUGAAUUAUCUGGAGGUCAGCGGAAUAUGUCAUGUAGCGGUGAAAUGCUUAGAUAUGACAUAGAACACCAAUUGCGAAGGCAGCUGGCUACAGGUAUAUUGACACUGAGGCACGAAAGCGUGGGGAUCAAACAGG
rnacentral:rRNA from 1 species